CCUUCGCUGAUGAUCAAACAUGACUUUCGUUCUUCUGAGCGUGCUGAAGCCACUACUGUGGUCUGAGGAGG